UACGUAGGGGGCAAGCGUUGUCCGGAAUCAUUGGGCGUAAAGAGCGUGUAGGCGGCCAGAUAAAGUCCGCUGUGAAAAUCUCGAGGCUCAGCUUCGAGCUGUCGGUGGAAACUGUCUGGCUAGGAGUCCGGAAGAGGAGAAUGGAAUUCCUGGUGUAGCGGUGAAAUGCGCAGAUAUCAGGAAGAACACCCGUGGCGAAGGCGGUUCUCUGGGACGGUACUGACGCUGAGGCACGAAGGCCAGGGGAGCAAACGGG
rnacentral:rRNA from 1 species